rnacentral:rRNA from 1 species
GUACACUCCUGCGGGAGGCAGCAGUGGGGAAUAUUGCACAAUGGGCGCAAGCCUGAUGCAGCCAUGCCGCGUGUAUGAAGAAGGCCUUCGGGUUGUAAAGUACUUUCAGCGGGGAGGAAGGCGAUAAGGUUAAUAACCUUGUUGAUUGACGUUACCCGCAGAAGAAGCACCGGCUAACUCCGUGCCAGCAGCCGCGGUAAUACGGAGGGUGCAAGCGUUAAUCGGAAUUACUGGGCGUAAAGCGCACGCAGGCGGUCUGUCAAGUCGGAUGUGAAAUCCCCGGGCUCAACCUGGGAACUGCAUUCGAAACUGGCAGGCUAGAGUCUUGUAGAGGGGGGUAGAAUUCCAGGUGUAGCGGUGAAAUGCGUAGAGAUCUGGAGGAAUACCGGUGGCGAAGGCGGCCCCCUGGACAAAGACUGACGCUCAGGUGCGAAAGCGUGGGGAGCAAACAGGAUUAGAAACCCCAGUAGUCCCAUGA